AUACGGAGGGUGCAAGCGUUACUCGGAAUCACUGGGCGUAAAGCGCGCGCAGGCGGUCUUUUAAGUUGGAUGUGAAAGCCUACGGCUCAACCGUAGAACUGCAUCCAAAACUAUUAGACUAGAGUGUGGGAGAGGAAGAUGGAAUUAGUUGUGUAGGGGUAAAAUCCGUAGAGAUAACUAGGAAUACCAAAAGCGAAGGCAAUCUUCUGGAACAUUACUGACGCUGAGGCGCGAAAGCGUGGGGAGCAAACAGGAUUAGAAACCCCAGUAGUCC
rnacentral:rRNA from 1 species